rnacentral:misc_RNA from 1 species
UCUCCGUUGGUGAACCAGCGGAGGGAUCAUUACAGAGUUCCACAACUCCCAACCCCUGCGAACCGUACCCCAGUUUGUUCUCGUUGCCUCCUGGCGGCGGGCCCCCUGAACCUUUUUUUCUCAACCAGCCCGUCUGAGCAAACAAACAAAUGAAUCAAAACUUUCAACAACGGAUCUCUUGGUUCUG